AUGGAGCAAUUGGAGAAGAGGAUGGAUGCUGCUGAACAACAAAUCAAAGAGCUGCGUGAAGAUCUUAAUAGGAGAUUUGACCAGCUGGUUGAGAUGAUAAGAAAGGGUGUCCCCCCUGCUACCAAUGAAGGAGAUUCAUCUAAAGAAGAGGAAGAUGUUCAUCAAGGAAGGAGAGGUAAUCUUGGAGCAAGACCGCCACGACAACAUGUUGUUCAACGUGCUUCAAGAAGGCCAAUUUAUGUUGAGGCUUCUGAAGGUGAAGAAUAUGAUGAUGCCCUUGAAGAGCCAAAUCUCUACGCAUAUCGGAGAGCACCCAACCCUACAUAUGCAAGAGAUACAUACAAGGUGAAAGCUGAGAUCCCAAGUUUUAAUGGAAAUGAUGACAUUGAAGGGUGCCUGGAUUGGUUAUAUGAAGUGGAGACUUUCUUUGAGGUCAUGGAGGUUCCGGAAGAUCGUAGAGUUCCUUUGGUCGCAUACAAACUGAAAGGAGGAGCCGGUGCAUGGUGGCAUCGCGUUCAAGAGGAGCGUAGGCUCAGAGGAGAACCUCGUGUUAGAACUUGGCGACAAAUGAAAGGCCUCUUGAAAGGGAGAUUUUUGCCCGCUGAUUAUGACCAGAUCCUAUUUAUCCAAUUUCAAAAUUGUGCUCAAGGAAAUAGGACUGUUUCAGAUUACACGGAGGAGUUUCUAAGGCUACAAGUGAGGUGCAACCUUGCUGAAACUGAAGAGCAACAAGUUGCAAGGUACAUCAAUGGUCUCAAUGAUGCUAUUCAAGAUCGAUUGAUGAUGCAACAAAUCUGGUCCGUUGAUCAAGCACAAGCUCUAGCCUUAAAGGCCGAGAGGUUUGUGAGGAUGAGAAAGACAACUAAGGCUCCAUAUCCUUCAUAUCCUCAUACCGAAGGCUCAUCUAGGAGCCAACCUAAUAGAGUGGAAGAAAAGACCACUCCACCAAAGACAAAACAGCCCAUCCCGAAGCAAACUAGAGGCAAGGGUAAGGCAAAUGAAGGCCCAAAGUGCUAUAAAUAUGGUAAAGAGGGACACAUAUCCAGCGGCUGCCCACUAAGGAAAUUUGUUAACACGACUAUCCAUGAUGGUGAAAGCGAUGAGGAAGAAUACGAAUCUGAAGAUGUAGACGGACAAGAGGUUUGUCAAGAAGAAGGUGAAGAGGUGGUAUGUGUGAUCCAGCGUGUCCUAUGUUCCACACCACAACUCGAUGACACACAACGGAAGAAAAAAAUUGAGAGCAAAUGCACGGUGAAUGGCAAGGUAUGCAAACUAGUGAUUGAUAGUUGCAGCUGCGAGAAUCUUAUCUCCCAGAAGUUGGUGGACCAUUUAAAGCUUGAAACCCAUGAUCAUCCAAAUCCCUACACUAUUGGAUGGAUCAAGAAAGGAGUGAAUAUGAGGAUCACCAAACAAUGCAACCUGCCACUUUCUUUGGGUAAGCAUUAUCGCUCAAAUGUGUUGUGUGAUGUGGUUGGCAUGGAUGCCAGCCAUGUUCUUCUUGGGAGGCCUUGGCAAUUUGAUGUGGAUACUACACACAAGGGCAAGGAAAAUUCUUACUCUUUCAUUUGGAACAAGAGAAGGAUCAUUAUCUUACCAAACAAACCCGAAGGUAAUACCUCUAAGGAGGAGGGGAAAACUAUGUUAACUAUCUCCCAUACCUCUCAUGAGUUUAUGGAAGACUUGAAGGAGGCAGAUUUGUGUGCUGCACUUGUUGUAAAGGGAGAAGAGCACCUGACUGUUGAAAUUCCAGCAAAGGUACGUGGUUUAUUGGCGGAAUUUCAGAACAUACUUGGGGAGCCACAUGGCUUGCCACCGAUGAGAGGAAUUCAACAUAGAAUUGACUUAAUUCCGGGAGCAAGUCUUCCUAAUCUUCCACACUAUCGAAUGAGCCCAAAGGAGCAUGCUAUAUUGAAGGAGAAAGUGGAGGAAUUGUUGCAAAAGGGGCACAUUCGAGAAAGUAUUAUCCCAUGUGUUGUACCAGCCCUACUCGUGCCAAAGAAAGAUGGAUCUUGGCGCAUGUGUACGGACAGUAGAGCCGUUAACAAGAUCAUCGUAAGAUAUAGAUUCCCUAUUCCCCGUCUGGAUGAUAUGUUGGAUCAGCUUAGUGGAGCAAGAGUGUUCACAAAGCUAGAUUUAAGAAGUGGAUAUCAUCAAAUCCGUAUAAGACCCGGGGAUGAAUGGAAGACCGCCUUCAAGACAAAGGAAGGGUUGUUUGAAUGGCUAGUCAUGCCAUUUGGACUCUCAAAUGCACCAAGUACCUUUAUGCACUUAAUGAAUCAAGUCCUUAGACCCUUCUUAUCCCACUUUGUUGUGGUCUAUUUCGAUGACAUCUUGAUCUAUAGCAAGGAUGAGGAUGAACACUUUGAUCACAUUCGGAAGGUGCUAGAAGUACUAAGGGAAAAUGAGCUCUACGUCAACUUGAAGAAAUGUGUUUUCCUGCAAACACAACUUCUUUUCCUAGGAUUCGUCAUAACAUGUGACGGCAUUCGUGUUGAUGAUUUUAAGGUUGAAGCAAUCCGAGAAUGGCCAACUCCUAAGACCAUUUCUGAGGUAAGAAGCUUUCAUGGCCUUGCAACUUUCUAUAGGCGAUUUGUUAAAAAAUUUAGCACUAUCAUGGCACCAAUUACCGAGUGUUUGAAGAAAGGAAAGUUCUAA
rnacentral:rRNA from 1 species